AUGGUUCAGUUUAACCUGAAAAAAGGUGAGUUUUCAGUGGAUAGAUGCUUGUUCACAGUGCAGGAGGUUUUUGUACGGCCACUUAAUGAGUUUGUAUCACUGUGGUGGACUUUUGGUGGAGGAACCAAACUCAUCAUUAACUCUGGCCCCAUGGUCAGGCCCUCCGUCUCUCUGCUUCCCCCCUCCUCUGAGCAGCUCUCCGGGGGCUCGGCCACGCUGGCCUGCCUUCUGUCCGGCUACUCUCCUCAGGGAGCCGUGGUGAGCUGGCAGGUGGACGGCACAGAGGUGACAGAGGGAGUCCUGAGCAGCUCAGAGGAGGAGAAGAGCGGACGCUACAGCAGCAGCAGCACCCUGAACCUGAGCCAGGAGCGCUGGAUGCAAGGAGAGCUGUACUCCUGCAGGGUCCUCCAUCAUGACCACAGCCAGACCCAGUCCCUCCACAGGAGCCAGUGUAAGGGCUAGAGGAGCUGGCUGAAGCCCAGGACGGGAGCUCUGUGUGGGGGAGCAGCAGGAACACACCUGCUGCUCUGAUCAAUAUGAGUUUGAGUCUUUGUAAACUAAAGCUUUGUGUGACGGAGAACAACAAUUUAGAGAUUAAAGUUCAGCAGCUAGAUGUGAGUGUGUUUAAUAACUGUCAUGUUGAUGAUUGAUGUUCUUGCUAAUAAAGCUUUCACUGAUGAAUUACA